UGGCCCAUCGGGCCGGGCCUUGUUUAGGCCCGGGCCCAGUUCCACCCCUAAGCAGCACGCUUAGCAACGUCGAUUUGGCCUCAAGGAAGGCCAACGAAGCAGGAUCGAGAGGACAGAGAGGAGAGGAUGUUUGCACUCUCUCUCUGUUCUCCUUGUACUCAACCGAUCGUGGAAGAGCUCGAGUGGAGUAUUCCGUCGCUGACGUCGUGCCGCAGAGCCGUUCGAGCGCGCGUUUAUUGCCGUAGCAUCGCGAGGAGGCCGGGCGAGGGUGCGUUUUUACCGUUCUCGACGUCGCGCCGGUGCUAGAGUCGCUGUUGAGAUUUCCUGCGUCGACCGUUGGCGUUUCGGCUCGUGUGCGACGUAGGAGCGUCGGAUUGCAGCGAGACUUGGUUCGUUGGAUUCAAGACUUCGAGAGGAAUCCACGAAGCCCAAGAUUGCAGAAUUUGGUGAAGGUUAGCUUGGUCGAACCCUUAGUUUACCCUGCCGUUGUUAUACGUGGACAGAAUUGAUGGAUUUUGAUUAUAGAGCUUGGAGUUAGCUCGAUUUCUGGACUUGGAGGACUUCGGUCGAUCCAGCAGGUUGUUCUGCAGCUGAGGGAGUUCUUUGCUGCCAGGGAUUAACUCUCGA